rnacentral:rRNA from 1 species
CAGAUAAGGAGCUUGCUCCUUUGACGUUAGCGGCGGACGGGUGAGUAACACGUGGAUAACCUACCUAUAAGACUGGGAUAACUUCGGGAAACCGGAGCUAAUACCGGAUAACAUAUUGAACCGCAUGGUUCAAUAGUGAAAGGCGGCUUUGCUGUCACUUAUAGAUGGAUCCGCGCCGUAUUAGCUAGUUGGUAAGGUAACGGCUUACCAAGGCAACGAUACGUAGCCGACCUGAGAGGGUGAUCGGCCACACUGGAACUGAGACACGGUCCAGACUCCUACGGGAGGCAGCAGUAGGGAAUCUUCCGCAAUGGGCGAAAGCCUGACGGAGCAACGCCGCGUGAGUGAUGAAGGUCUUCGGAUCGUAAAACUCUGUUAUCAGGGAAGAACAAAUGUGUAAGUAACUGUGCACAUCUUGACGGUACCUGAUCAGAAAGCCACGGCUAACUACGUGCCAGCAGCCGCGGUAAUACGUAGGUGGCAAGCGUUAUCCGGAAUUAUUGGGCGUAAAGCGCGCGUAGGCGGUUUUUUAAGUCUGAUGUGAAAGCCCACGGCUCAACCGUGGAGGGUCAUUGGAAACUGGAAAACUUGAGUGCAGAAGAGGAAAGUGGAAUUCCAUGUGUAGCGGUGAAAUGCGCAGAGAUAUGGAGGAACACCAGUGGCGAAGGCGACUUUCUGGUCUGUAACUGACGCUGAUGUGCGAAAGCGUGGGGAUCAAACAGGAUUAGAUACCCUGGUAGUCCACGCCGUAAACGAUGAGUGCUAAGUGUUAGGGGGUUUCCGCCCCUUAGUGCUGCAGCUAACGCAUUAAGCACUCCGCCUGGGGAGUACGACCGCAAGGUUGAAACUCAAAGGAAUUGACGGGGACCCGCACAAGCGGUGGAGCAUGUGGUUUAAUUCGAAGCAACGCGAAGAACCUUACCAAAUCUUGACAUCCUUUGACCGCUCUAGAGAUAGAGUCUUCCCCUUCGGGGGACAAAGUGACAGGUGGUGCAUGGUUGUCGUCAGCUCGUGUCGUGAGAUGUUGGGUUAAGUCCCGCAACGAGCGCAACCCUUAAGCUUAAUUGCCAUCAUUAAGUUGGGC